ensembl:lncRNA
UCGUAACUCCAAUCUGCGCCUCUGUCUUCACAUGAAUUUCUCUCCCACAUCUCUGUGUGUCUUCUUCGUUUCUGUUUAUUGUAAGGACACCUGCUAUUGGAUUUAGCACCUGCUCUAAUCCAGGAUGAUCUGAUCUCAAGAGUUUUACCAUAAUUACCUCUGGAAAGAUCCUAUUUCCAAAAUCCUGGUGUUUUGGAGAAAGCAAUGUGCCAAGUUUCAGAAGAAUUGUCUCUUGUCUUUCCUUGGAGAUACCACUGCCCUUACGACAGAAUGGCAUGCGGACAUGCCGGCUGUGACCACUCUGAUCAAGAGGCAUCUCUUUGGAAGGGAGUCAAGUGCAAAGCAAAGAAGAACAGAAAGAUCAAAGGGGCCUGGGCCAUUGGUGCCACUACAGGGUGUCUGUACCAGACCGAGAAUGUCUCUUCCUAAUCUUGAUAACAUGAGGGGAAAGAAAGCCCUAAGUUGUUUAAGCCGUUGCUUUAUUGUACUCUAUUUGAACAGCCAAAGAAGUGCCCAAUGUACUGCUCCUUCCCACAGGGUCUGAAAUGAAGGGAAAGGAUCAGAAGAUGGAAGUGGAUAUCGAUAAGUUAUAGGGAGGGAGGGGGGCUGUUAAAGUAGAUUAAACUUGAUGGCUUCAACUUUUAGGAUGAAGAAAGAGGCAAUGUCUACUGAAACUGGGUGUAGUAGGGCUUGGAGAAAAGAGAUUUUUAAUCGCUUUAAUGGUGUGCUAAAAUAAA